rnacentral:lncRNA from 1 species
GUUAGAGAGGAGGGCAGCGUGGCUAGAAGGAGCUUGGCAGCAGAGUCAGGGAGGGAGGAGAGCGGAGGGCAAGACCAGGGCCAGGGGCAGGGCAACAGCGUUAGGCAGCUCUCGUUAUUGCUGUGUGACAACCUUUCCCCAUCUUUACGGGCUUAACCAACGAACGUUGAUUAUGUCACAGUGGCACUGGACCAGGAAUCCAGCAGCGCUCAGCUGGGAGCCUCUGCCAGAUGCUCUCAGGGAGUCAGGCUGUGCUCUGAACUGAGGCAGGAUCUGCUUCCCUCCCCCUCUGAGCGCACUCUGGGUCCUGGAGGGACCCCUUGCGACUGGAGGCCUGAGUGCCCCUCUGUCGGUGGGUCUCCUUCAGGGCCAGGCCUCAGCAGCCUCUCUAGAGCACAACCCAGAACACACAGGCCUGUUCCCCAGAGUGAGGGAUCAGAGAGAGAGAGAGAACAGCUGAGAGUGAGCAGGAGGAGAGCCCUGGACUGUUUGGGUCCCAGUCUCAGAACUGGCUUCGCAUCACUCUGCCCUGUUCCACGGAGUAGAAGGGAAUCACGAACUUCAGGCCACACUCAAGGGGAGUGGAUUCCAGCAGCAUGUGUAGACCGAGCAGAGGGGAUCACAGGAGGCCAUUGAGGGAGAAGGAGAAGACCUCACAGGCUCAAUGCCCUGGACAGAAUCACAGUCUAGUUCAAGGUGGAGCCAGGUGUGAACCCAGCUCUGUAGCCUCAAGGAUGGGGCCCUGGCUGCUCCCAGGCUUCCUCAGGGGGCUCUGAAAAGGUGGUGCUGCUCUAACUGCAGUCAAAAAUGGGGAGGGCAGGGGGCUGAGACUGAGAAGUCGGCAGCCUGGUCGUGCAUUUGGCAAGUUUCUGCCUGAGGAUGAGCCCAGGGCAGGCGAACACUUGAGUGUUCCCCAUCCAUGUCACGCCUAGGGUGGAGGGAGCAGGGGCCACCUUUGCUGAGCUCAUGCUUAUGCACUUCUGAACUCAAUCCCACACUGGAGAAUUGGGAAACUGAGGCCCAUAAACAGGUAUUUUCCCACUCGGGCCUGACGGCAUCUCCAAGAACUAUGGGCUAGGAUAAUCCCCCCCACGCAGACUGGAGGCAGAAAGGCCCCGCGAGGCACCAUGGCUUCUCCAGGAUGAGGAACAGGGAAGAAGGAGCACUUGUGUCUGCGUCUGUCUCAAAGCUGGGACCCUGGCUGCACCCAGACCUUCUCGGAGGCCUGUGGAGACAGGUGGUUUGGGGAUCCUGGGGACACAUAUGAUACUGCAUGGAAAAGGGGGCGAGCAGUGCCCCGCCCAGAGGACUGCUUGCAUGGGUGGUAUCCGAGGAGGGGGCUCAGAUCACCGUGGUUUCCAGGCAAUGAUGUAACCUCUUUCACAACAAUGCCCACAGUGCAGGGGCCUCCUGUAAAGAGGCACCCAGAUCCUCACACUCAGCUCACUUGGCUGGACACAGCUGCUACGGAAAGAUGUUUUCCUGCUGUAUCCUGCCUCACAGCGUCUAUGGUCCCCAGACGACCCGGAGCCAAAACCUUUUUACUCGUUUUAAAGGGUGGCUCACCUCUCAUACUCCACACCUAUGGCCGUUUGCCAGGAGGUCAUCAAAGGUAACACGAGGGGGCCUACAUCGGGCUAUCCAGCUCAGGCCACUUCUGUGAGCCCCCACUGAACGGCCCCCACCCUCUCCCUUCCGUGGGGGGGAUCCUGACUUGGCGGGAACUGCUGGGUGUACAGCUGAUCACCUGGUGCUGCUGCCAUCUUCACAUCCCAGGACAGGGCUGGCACCAUAGAAAGGGGAUUCCCAAGUUGCCUCUUAACUGGGCCAAGUUUCCUUCAAUUCUUUUUCUGAUGGGAGUAACCUUCGUUUAUAGCAUUACGUAGUUUCAGGCUUUCAGCAUUAUAUUGCGAUUUCUGUGUAGAUGACAUCGUGUUCACCACAUAACGACUAAUGACAAUCCAUCACCACACACAUUUGCCUAAUCACCCCUUUUCACCCUCUUCCCUCCCCACUUCCCCUCUGGAACCCCCAAUCCAAUGCCUAUCUCCUGUGAUUCUUUGCUGCCGUCAUCCCUGAUUUAUGAGAGUAGUCACAAGGCU